GCUAAAUAUUUAUCUAUGUUACUUACAUUUAAUCUGUAUAGCUAUAUAAUCUAUAUAGCUAAAUAUUUAUCUAUGUUACUUACAUUUAUAUCUACAUAAGAUUUAGAAAUAUAUACGAAUCAGAUCCACUAACCGGUAAAUAUUUAUUAAGAUAUUAGAUUUACUUAAUGCAAUCAUCAAUAUAUUGUACUUAUUACGAAUCCUCCUUAUUGCCAUCGAUAACAUAUUUGUCUUUUUAAACAUGUCUGUUUUCAAAUUACACAACGUACAAAGUUUAUCUGCUGUACCAUGCAAAAUUCUUUUUUCCGAUGAACACAAAAGUUUUAUUGCAUAUUUUGCCCAAUAUCCAGCAGUCAGAUUUGAUGCGAAUUUUUUCCCACGAGAUUUCUCAUACAUUAAAAAUAUCUGAUUUUACUUUGACAAGGGCAAAUUAAUUAAUUAAUAAUUUUAUUCAUAAGAUAGCCUUGUUGAAGAUAAGGAAUGUCCUGCUCAAGAUAAAUAAUCAAAAUAUUUUGUAUACAUAUUUGUAUGUUUGUAUGUUUGACUGCUUAUAUUGUUUGCUUUAGAAGCAAGCAAGAUUUGAAAGUAUACACAAAUCGGAUCCAUUACCACUUACUUAUUAAGUGUUAACCGUUGAACACAGUCAAUAAGAUUUUGUAUUCAUAUGAGAAAUCCUCAGUAUCAUCGAUAAUCAACGCGUUUCUUUUUAAAAAUGUCUGCUAUCGAAAACAUAAGCGAGCCAGAGAGCCAACUCGAUAAAGAUAAAACUGGGAUAAAGGAAUCUGGUAAUGAAUCCGUUACGAUAGAGGAUCAAGUUGAAGAGAAUAUCGAGAGUAGUGCAAAUAGCGAGGACCUAACAAACGUCAGUGCAGAACUUAUUCAAAUUUUAGAAUCAUCGCGCAGUAUUAUGAAGACGGGUUUUUCACAAGAAGGACACCUUUCUAAAAAACAGAAUAAAAUAAUUAAAGUGAUAAAAUCGAAGAUGGACAAAUUAUACCGUGAUAUAAUCAAACCAGGAAACCAGGCACAUACCAAAAAUUCAGUAUUUCUUGCACAAGCUUAUUUAUAUCUGGCUCGUACAUAUGCCGAUAGCGGAGAUUAUUCACAAUUAGAGAUUGUCGAUUUCUACAUUAAUAGAUGUUUGAACCUUUUAAAAAAUAAGGAAAAAGAACGCAAAGUCAUUUUGAUAGCUGUAGAAACGCAUCACUUUUUAGGUUCUCUGUAUUGUAAGUGGAAUAAGCACGAACAAUCUCUGAUAGCUUUUGAAAAGGCAUUACAACUAUAUUUGACAUACAACGAUGCAGAUGAGUAUUUAGCUCCUAUUAAUAUAUUAUCAUCUUUUAAAUCUGACCAAUCAUCAGAUACUGAAUUUUUAUUAGAGGAACAAUGUACAGUAGUUUUGGCAAAUUUAUUAGCAGCAAAGAUAGAUGACGAAGACAAAACCAAGCAGAUGAUAGUCGAUAAAGUAGCUAUAUACAAAUAUAAGUUAUUAAAAAGGAUAGUAAAUAAGACAUUACGAAAUGAAGACUAUAUUAAUUGGGCUUCACAAUCAGUGUUCUUAGCCGAGAUUUUCGUAAAAUAUGAAAGAUUUACCGCAGCUAAAGAUCAUCUUACUGCGGCUUCCUUUAUAAUGCACAAAUACGAUAUGGAAAAACCUGUAGAAACGGAUGAAGAAACACAUUUGAUUAAGGAGGAUUGUAUAUGUUAUGGGUAUAAAAAAAUUAUAUUUGAUAUUAAUCGGCAGUGGGGGAAAUACGGGCUCAAACUUUUGCAAUCAUCACAAGAAAAAUUAUUGCAAGAAAAUGUAAAAAAUGAGACUUGUAAGGUUCAUUGUCAGUCCCAAUCAACUGCAAACUCUGAACAAUCUAUUGAGUCAGAAUUUGUUGAUAUAAUACCAAAGUUAAGAGUAUUCGUCGUUAAGAUCACAGAUAGGUAUCUUUCAUCUUAUAUUGAUGCUAAAGUAGUUUUUACAACUGUUUUGCAACAUUUUAAUAAAGCGUUAGUAUAUAUUACUCCUGAACUACAUUUACUAGAAUAUGUAAAUAUUAUGCAAGGCAUUUCUGACGCGUAUAAAUAUUUAGCAAGCUAUGAACAAAAUGAAGAUAAUCAAUUAAAACUGCAUAAACGGCGACUAAAAGUUUUAACAGAUAUUAUAAGUUAUUUGGAUAUAGAAAAUGAUAUACAGAUUCUCAAACCGAUUUGGAUUGAAAUAGCAAUUACUAACUCUAAUAUAUUAGAUAAAAUUACUGGAAAUUUCCGAUAUCAAUGUGAUAAUAAAUUUAAUAAUAAAUCAAAUGCUGAAAUAAUUCGUGAAUCAGAUAACUUUAUAAAGAAUAUUAUGUGUUGUUGGGAAUCAUAUAUCAAUAGUUUUUCGUAGAUUAUUUAUUAACUGAUGGAUGUGUGUAUAUGAUUUGAUUAACAAAUUAUGUUCUUUUUAUCUGCACAUGGCAAACACGUAUACAAAAUAUUUAUUAGUUAUGUUAAAAACAGAAAAUACUUAAUCUCCCUCUUCAAUGAUUAUAAUAAAAUUAUUCCUAAGAGAAAGAAUUCCUACAGAAAAAUUGUAAUUUUUACACGUAUUUGCAAAUAUUUGAUGGAUUUAACAUAGUGUGAUAAAUUAAUUAUUAUAUCGUAUUGUUUUAAUAAGAUAUAUAUUUUUUAUAAACAUUUUAUAUUUUUACUUGAAAAUUAAAUAAUAUAAUAAAUAUUUCGUUAUUAUUGUCAAAACUGUUGUCGUUAUUAAUUGAAUUUCCAUACGAAAAAAAGGGACGGGAAAGGGAUAUUCUUGAAAAUAUAUAAUUUAGACUUUCCUAAAAUAAAAAUGGUUGACAAUUUUACUUAUGAGUCAGGUAAAAAUAAAGAACGUUUCAAUAAGAAUAAAUAAAUACAAAAUCUUGUGUAUACAAGCAAAUAUGGAAAUUCGUGCGUUACAUCUCUAAGGUCAAUUCAAACAAACUCGUAUAUCGUAUAUCGCCGCACACUCAUGCAUGUACGGAAAAAUUAUCCAAUGAUAAUGUCUAAUUCAAGGAACAUACCAACAUAAGAUCGUUUAUAUUAAAAGUAAUUGGUCGAUUUCUCUCUAUAUUAUGUGAUAUCACGUGUUUAUAUAAAUUUGUCAGAAUAGAUAUUUACAAUAGUUCAUAUGGAAUAAUCCUUCAUAUUGAUAUCGAUUAUAUUAGUGUACUCGAUUCUAGAGAUGUCUGGCAUAAGAAAAAUGCAAUGGCUUCAUAUACAAACUGUAUGCAGUGUAACAAAACAGCAGGACGAGACAAUAGAGAAUAUCAAGAGUACGAUGAGCGUUACCAAGAAAUUUAUUAAAAUUUUAAAAUCGUCGUUUGGAGUAAUGAACAACGCGAGUCAAAUUACUGAAGAGCAAACACAAAAUAUUGCUAUAGAAGUAAAGAUGGAUAGAUUGUUUCGUGAAGUAAUCGAUUUGAAAGACUCAAAAUUCGACGAUUGUGUAACUCUCGCAUUAUCUUAUCUUUAUAUGUCCUAUAUAUAUAUUGACAACAAAGAUAACAUACAUAUUAGUAAAAAAUAUCUUACGAAAUCUUUAGAAUUGCUAAAGGAGAAAGAACUAGAUUGCAAAGCUAUUUUAAUAGUUAUGAGGAUAUACAAUGAAUUGAGUUAUAUUGAAAAAAUAAUGGAAAAUUUUAUAGAAGCUGAAUCAUAUUUAAAUCAGGCAUUGCAGCUAUAUUGCAUGUUCACAAAAGAAAAGGAUGAUUAUCCUAUUCCCAUUGAUGUUGCAAGUAUUCUUAAUAUAGAAGAGAACGAAAAUUGUAAGUGUUUACUAGAGUGUACAUAUUAUGUAACUUUGGAGGGCUUAUUGGAAAUAGAUAAUAUAAUAUCUUUGUAUUCUGAGCGUACAGAUAUACCUAAAGCUGCAAUAUAUAUGCAUAAACAAUUGGAAAGAAAAUUAAAUGCGAGUAACAUUGAUUAUAUAAUGUGGGCUAUAAGUUCAGCUGAAUUAUCUACAUGUUUUAUAAAGUACGGUCGUUUUACAGAAGCUAGAAAUCAUCUCAGUGCUGCAAGUUUUAUGAUGCAGCAAUAUUUCAUAAAUAUGUUUUAUAAAGUUGAGAAAAGUGAUAUUGAGGAAAUAACAGAAAAUUUAUCAAAACGUAAAUAUAGACUCGCAAAUUUCAUAAUUGCUAGCUAUUGGGCAAAAUAUGGACUUGCUCUUUUGAAUUCAUCAAGAGAAAAAACAAUAAUUCGAAAUACAGAAGAUAAACUUUGUCAGGCGAAUAUUUCGCAAUCAAGUGAAUCAGAAUGUCCUAUGAAAUCUGAGAGACAACCCAACGACUUACUUAUAUUUUUCGAUAUAGAAAAAGAUCUAGAAGAUUUCGUUCCAAUCACGGAUAAGUGUCCUUUAGAUUAUAAAGAAGCCAAACAAGUUUUUGUGAGUGUUUUGAAGUGGUUAAAUGACAUAAAAGAAUAUAAAACAAACAAUACCACAAACGAUAUUAUAAGUAAUAAAUUAGAAAACCAAUAUUCAGUUGAAAUAAACAUUUCCAUGGCAUAUAAAUAUUUAGCAUAUUAUGAGCAAGAUAAGAGCAACAAGAUAAAACUACAUAAACGACAAAUAGACGUUAUAGAGAAAGCUAUAGAAACAUUAAAACCAACAAUUGGGACAGAAAUCUACAAAAAGUUUUCUGUUGAACUAAUAUAUAGUUAUACAACUAUUGUGGAUAUGAUGACUGAACAUUUACGCGCAGAUAAACCUGGAUUAUCAGAAAAAGAGUUAUUGGAAAUUAAACAAUUGCUAAUACGUUGCUUAACGAGUCUCAAAUUAUAUUUAAGCUCUCCCGAGAAUGACAAUGUAUGAUUUAUCAUUGACAAAUUUCAUGUAACAGAGACAUGUACUAUAAUGCUACAAAUAUGAAAUUUAAUGUGAGCGUUAAUAUCUAUAUAAGUGAAAAGAAACAUUUAUGCAAAAAAAUUAAAGUUUAUAGUUUGUUUAAACGAAUAUAUUCAGUAGAUUAAUAUAAUACGAUAAAAAUGGUCAUAUUUUAAUAAUGUGUACUAUACUAUUAAAUUAAUACUAUUAAUAAUAUGCACUUUAUACUAUUAAACAUUUUUUAUUUUUGCUUGAAGAUAAAAUUUG